AACGAACGCUGGCGGCAGGCUUAACACAUGCAAGUCGAGCGCCCCGCAAGGGGAGCGGCAGACGGGUGAGUAACGCGUGGGAAUCUACCCAUCUCUACGGAAUAACGCAUGGAAACGUGUGCUAAUACCGUAUACGUCCUUCGGGAGAAAGAUUUAUCGGAGAUGGAUGAGCCCGCGUUGGCUUAGCUAGUUGGUGGGGUAAAGGCCUACCAAGGCGACGAUCCAUAGCUGGUCUGAGAGGAUGUUAAGCCACACUGGGACUGAGACACGGCCCAGACGCCUACGUGAGGCAGCAGUGGGGAAUAUUGGACAAGUGGCGCAAGCCUGAUCCAGCCAUGCCGCGUGAGUGAUGAGGGCCCUAGGGUUGUAAAGCUCUUUCACCGGUGAAGAUAAUGACGGUAACCGGAGAAGAAGCCCCGGCUAACUUCGUGCCAGCCGCCGCCGUAAUAC
rnacentral:rRNA from 1 species